UACAGAGGGUGCGAGCGUUAAUCGGAAUUACUGGGCGUAAAGCGUGCGUAGACGGUUAUUUAAGUCGGGUGUGAAAGCCCCGGGCUCAACCUGGGAAUUGCAUUCGAGACUGAAUAGCUAGGGUACGGUAGAGGGAAGUGGAAUUUCCGGUGUAGCGGUGAAAUGCGUAGAUAUCGGAAGGAACAUCAGUGGCGAAGGCGGGUCUCUGGGCCGAUACUGACGCUGAGGAGCGAAAGCGUGGGGAGCGAACAGG
rnacentral:rRNA from 1 species